rnacentral:rRNA from 1 species
AGCGGUGGAGCAUGUGGUUUAAUUCGAUGCAACGCGAAGAACCUUACCUGGCCUUGACAUCCACGGAAUUUGGCAGGGAUGCCUUAGUGCCUUCGGGAACCGUGAGACAGGUGCUGCAUGGCUGUCGUCAGCUCGUGUUGUGAAAUGUUGGGUUAAGUCCCGCAACGAGCGCAACCCUUAUCCUUUGUUGCCAGCGAUACGGUCGGGAACUCAAAGGAGACUGCCGGUGAUAAACCGGAGGAAGGUGGGGAUGACGUCAAGUCAUCAUGGCCCUUACGGCCAGGGCUACACACGUGCUACAAUGGCGCAUACAAAGAGAAGCGACCUCGCGAGAGCAAGCGGACCUCAUAAAGUGCGUCGUAGUCCGGAUCGGAGUCUGCAACUCGACUCCAUGAAGUCGGAAUCGCUAGUAAUCGUAGAUCAGAAUGCUACGGUGAAUACGUUCCCGGGCCUUGUACACACCGCCCGUCACACCAUGGGAGUGGGUUGCAAAAGAAGUAGGUAGCUUAACCUUCGGGAGGGCGCUUACCACUUUGUGAUUCAUGACUGGGGUGAAGUCGUAACAAGGUAACCAAGGGCGAAUUCCAG